AAUCUGCUUGCCUCACCCCCAAGUACUUCUUCUUUUCAUUACAUACAACUGUUUUUGUUGAAUUUUAUAAAUCGUUUCUAAACCGUACCUUCUUCUCAUCUCUCAAUAUCUUUUCUUCGAUGUCGACGUCGUCCCAACAAACCAUUGUCCUCAAAGUGGGGACUUAUGUUCUUCAGCAACCCAAUGGCAAAUUGGAUUAUAACCUGAUCCAAGAACUCGCAAAAACGAUUGCUGAAUUACGCCAGAGAGGCCAUGAAGUAUUACUCGUCAGCUCAGGCGCAAUUGGAGCAGGUCGGGAACGCUGCACGGCCCUCCCGAACCCUCCGCAAGCAGCCACACCAGGUAAGGGUCGUAAAGAAUUGGGCAUUCAACAAAUGUUGGCUUAAUUCGAUGCAACGCGAAAAACCUUACCUACUCUUGACAUACUUGGGAGCUCUUGUAAUGAGAGUGUGCCUUUUGGAACCAAGAUACAGGUGCUGCAUGGCUGUCGUCAGCUCGUGUCGUGAGAUGUUCCGUUAAGUCGGAUAACGAGCGCAACCCUUACCCUUAUUUGCCAGCGAUUCGGUCGGGAACUAUAAGGGGACUGCCGGUGAUAAACCGGAGGAAGGUGAGGACGACGUCAAGUCAUCAUGGCCCUUACGAGUAGGGCUACACACGUGCUACAAUGGGGAAUACAGACGGACGCUAAGCCGCGAGGUGGUGCUAAUCCUAGAAAGUUUCUCGUAGUCCGGAUUGGAGUCUGCAACUCGACUCCAUGAAGUCGGAAUCGCUAGUAAUCGCGGAUCAGCAUGCCGCGGUGAAUACGUUCUCGGGUCUUGUACACACCGCCCGUCACACCAUGGAAGUGGAUUGCACCAGAAGUAGAUAGUCUAACCUUCGGGAGGGCGUUUACCACGGUGUGCUUCAUGACUGGGGUGAAGUCGUAACAAGGUAGCCGUAGGGGAACCUGCGGCUG
rnacentral:rRNA from 1 species